rnacentral:misc_RNA from 1 species
UUUUUUUUUUCCCCCAUUUCUUUUUUGGUUGCUUUCAUGUAAUUGGAAAUUGUGUUUUAGUCUUGCUUCUAUCAAGAAGUAUUCCACCUUUUUUUGGUUGUUGUAGUCAUUGCUUCUGUCAUGAAGCAUUCCAUACCAAAAUACGGUACCUAUCCUUUUCCUAGAUGUGUGUGAUGGAACAUCUACCAUUCGACAAUUCUUGACUUCAUGUUUUGUGAUAACGAGCGAUAAUGUAUGAGAGUUCAUGGUAAAAAGCAGACGGUAAUAUGUGCUACCUAUUGAAUGUACGACCGAGAAUGUUUAUAAAAUAUCAAGAGGGUGUCUGAUCUUGUUGAUCUCAUUUUAUGUACAACUUCAAUCUAGCUCACCCCCAGCUCCAA